GGAGACAGAAUCUGUAGCUGGGAUUUUAGGCAUCUGUCUCCACACCCAGCUAAUUUUUGUAUUUUUAGUAGAGACAGGGUUUCACCAUGUUGGCCAGGAUGGUCUCAAACUCCUGGCCUCAAGUGAUCUGCCCACCUCGGCCUCCCAAAGUGCUAGGAUAACAGGUGUGAGCCACCACACCCAGCCAAAAGAGUUUUUUUUUUUUUAAAUUAUUGUUAUUAUUAUUGUGCUCCUUAAAACAACAAAGGCCAGGUGACAGAUGCUAAGAGCCCAGUCUAGACUGGUGCAGUCAGGCCGGGAGGAGUGAGCAGCCACUUGUGGGCCUCGGUCAGGCUGUCCUGACAGAGAGGACAGAGUAGGUGGCUAUCCAUGCUGCAGGUUCCGCCACCCUACAGCAUCUCCUCCCUGCCUGGGAAUCCCAUGUUUAGUUGCUCCUGUAGGUUGGACAGCCAUGAUUGGGGCAGCUGCCACCCAGAGAUUGUGGGGACAGUUCUGGGCUUGCCUAAGGGCUCUGGAGUCUGGAAUCUGGACCACAUAGUACAGCAAGAGAAACAGCACACAGCUCAUCCUUGAGCGUAUCUAAUAUAUCAAAAUGAUUCCAGAAUUAAUGAGACCUCCUGGGUACCUAGUACCUAAAGGCUUAACUGGGAUAGCACUCCACCCCACCCCCCAUCCCACCUGCCCCACCUCUCGCAAGACAUAUUCAGUCCUCCAUAGAGACACCUCCCUUAAUGCUAAGGAGUUCACUCAGCUCAGACUUCUGGAGUGGGGAAACGGAGGCUUUCUCCAUCCAGACUCAUCAUCCUGGAAUUCUUUAUUUCUCUCUCCUGAUUGCGGUUUUUUUUUCUAUAUUCCCUAUUUUUUCACUUUUUCUUUUUCACAGUCUUUUUUUUCUUGAAAUAUUUCUCCUUUUCUUUCUUUGUCUUCUCCUUAGUAAAUCAAAUUGCCUAAUUGUCAACCUGGCAGGUGGGGACUGGAACCCAGGGAGGAUGUGGCACCGGACAGAGGCUUCCAAUGGAGGCAACAGCUUGGUCCACCCACAUGGCGGCAGAUCCACGCAUCUCCCUGGACCUUCCGUGUCUGAGCGUCCAUCUGGGAGCCUCCACCAAGGGGCAUGAGAGAACAGAAGCGGAGGAAGACCCUGAGAGUUGGCUUCCUAAGAGAGAAAAGGGAGCUUAUUUCCCAGAGUGGUGUUCCAGGAUUGCUGCAGGACAUGUGACAAUGGAAUUACUUCUAUGAGAGCCCGAUUUUGGGGCUCAAAGUUGUCCUCAAGCCCAGAGAUGGAUGCAGGGACUCUCCAAGGUAGAAGGGCCUUCUGGCUACCAGCCACCCAUGCAAAGUGAAACUCCAGGCACGAAAAAGACAUGGGGAGUCUUGGCAAAUACUGAAGCCACUGCUGGAAAAGAAGGAAGGCCCCAUGUGAGCCUGCCCUCACCAUUCCAUGGAGACAGAUGAGCCCGUGGGAAGCUGAAUGUGCUAGGGGAGAUCUUUGUGCCCUGCUAACCAGUGGCCUGCCAGAAGCCCAAAAAGUGCCAGGAGGGAGCAGCGACAGGAAAGCAGAGAAUUCUGGAAAAUAAGGUUUCCCAGCAUCAUCUGCCUGGGUGAAUGUCGUUGGCAGGUAGACAUCUGUCUCAAUUUCUAAAGAAUGAUCUGAUUUUCUAAAAAAGGAGAAAGAAGGGAAGGAGGGAAGAAGGAAGGAAGGGAAAAAAAGGGAAAAGUAAAGAAAAAAUAAAA
rnacentral:lncRNA from 1 species